rnacentral:rRNA from 1 species
AACGAACGCUGGCGGCAGGCUUAACACAUGCAAGUCGAGCGCCCCGCAAGGGGAGCGGCAGACGGGUGAGUAACGCGUGGGAACAUACCCUUUGGUUCGGAAUAACUCAGGGAAACUUGAGCUAAUACCGGAUACGUCCGUAAGGAGAAAGAUUUAUCGCCAAAGGAUUGGCCCGCGUCCGAUUAGCUAGUUGGUGAGGUAACGGCUCACCAAGGCUACGAUCGGUAGCUGGUCUGAGAGGAUGAUCAGCCACAUUGGGACUGAGACACGGCCCAAACUCCUACGGGAGGCAGCAGUGGGGAAUAUUGGACAAUGGGCGCAAGCCUGAUCCAGCCAUGCCGCGUGAGUGAUGAAGGCCUUAGGGUUGUAAAGCUCUUUUGUCCGGGAAGAUAAUGACUGUACCGGAAGAAUAAGCCCCGGCUAACUUCGUGCCAGCAGCCGCGGUAAUACGAAGGGGGCUAGCGUUGUUCGGAAUCACUGGGCGUAAAGCGCACGUAGGCGGACCGUUAAGUCGGAGGUGAAAGCCUGGGGCUCAACCCCAGAACUGCCUUCGAUACUGGCGGUCUUGAGUAUGGUAGAGGUUGGUGGAACUCCGAGUGUAGAGGUGAAAUUCGUAGAUAUUCGGAAGAACACCAGUGGCGAAGGCGGCCAACUGGACCAUUACUGACGCUGAGGUGCGAAAGCGUGGGGAGCAAACAGG